rnacentral:rRNA from 1 species
CGAAAAAUAACGAUACGGGACUCAUCCGAGGCCCCGUAAUCGGAAUGAGCACACUUUAAAUCCUUUAACGAGUAUCCAUUGGAGGGCAAGUCUGGUGCCAGCAGCCGCGGUAAUUCCAGCUCCAAUAGCGUAUAUUAAAGUUGUUGCGGUUAAAAAGCUCGUAGUUGGACUUGUGUCCCACGCUGUCGGUUCACCGCCCGUCGGUGUCUAACUGGCAUGGUUCGUGGGACGUCCUGCCGGUGGUGGCGAGUCGAAGGAGCGCGCCCGUCGUGGUUUACGCCGCGAUCGAGGUUGCGGUCCGGAGACGGACCCCGAUGAAAUCCUACCGCGGUGCUCUUCACCGAGUGUCGAGGUGGGCCGGCACGUUUACUUUGAACAAAUUAGAGUGCUUAAAGCAGGCCUGUUGCGCCUGAAUACUGUGUGCAUGGAAUAAUGGAAUAGGACCUCGGUUCUAUUUUGUUGGUUUUCGGAACCCGAGGUAAUGAUUAAUAGGGACAGUCGGGGGCAUUCGUAUUGCGACGUUAGAGGUGAAAUUCUUGGAUCGUCGCAAGACGGACCGAAGCGAAAGCAUUUGCCAAGUAUGUUUUCAUUAAUCAAGAACGAAAGUUAGAGGUUCGAAGGCGAUCAGAUACCGCCCUAGUUCUAACCAUAAACGAUGCCAGCUAGCGAUCCGCCGAAGUUCCUCCGAUGACUCGGCGGGCAGCUCCCGGGAAACCAAAGCUUUUGGGUUCCGGGGGAAGUAUGGUUGCAAAGCUGAAACUUAAAGGAAUUGACGGAAGGGCACCACCAGGAGUGGAGCCUGCGGCUUAAUUUGACUCAACACGGGAAACCUCACCAGGCCCGGACAC